UGGAUGGUUCUUUUCUUUGGGGAUUUUGAACCUAUUUCAGCUUUAGACUUCCACAAGGUUACAAGAUGACAGACAAAAGCGACUUCAGCCCAUCGAAAUGGCCAGACCAAUAAGGAAAUAGCAGUUUAUUCACGAAGAUAUAGUGAUGUCCGAACAUUUAAGCAUCGUAAACAAUGGAUAUUAGUCUUGACAUAGACUACAAAUGGGGGUUUUGUGUAUCAAGAAGGCUAUGCGAGCAUUCAACGUUGCAGCCAAGCUCUGAAAAAAUUUAAACGGGGCAGACGAAGGCAGACAAGGACCUUAUUCAUU